GUCUAUGGCCAUACUACCCUGAGUGUACCUGAUCUCAAAAGCUAAGUAGGGUUGGGCCUGUUUAGUACUUGGAUCGGAGAAAGCUCUUCAGAGGAUUCUGCUCAGAGACAAGCAGUUUGGAGACA
rnacentral:rRNA from 1 species